rnacentral:rRNA from 1 species
GUCGAACGGCAGCGCGGGGCAACCUGGCGGCGAGUGGCGAACGGGUGAGUAAUAUAUCGGAACGUACCCUNGAGUGGGGGAUAACGUAGCGAAAGUUACGCUAAUACCGCAUACGAUCUANGGAUGAAAGUGGGGGAUUCGCAAGAACCUCAUGCUCGUGGAGCGGCCGAUAUCUGAUUAGCUAGUUGGUAGGGUAAAAGCCUACCANGGCAUCGAUCAGUAGCUGGUCUGAGAGGACGACCAGCCACACUGGAACUGAGACACGGUCCAGACUCCUACGGGAGGCAGCAGUGGGGAAUUUUGGACAAUGGGCGAAAGCCUGAUCCAGCAAUGCCGCGUGAGUGAAGAAGGCCUUCGGGUUGUAAAGCUCUUUUGUCAGGGAAGAAACGGUGGACUCUAAUACAGGCCACUAAUGACGGUACCUGAAGAAUAAGCACCGGCUAACUACGUGCCAGCAGCCGCGGUAAUACGUAGGGUGCAAGCGUUAAUCGGAAUUACUGGGCGUAAAGCGUGCGCAGGCGGUUUUGUAAGUCUGACGUGAAAUCCCCGGGCUCAACCUGGGAAUUGCGUUGGAGACUGCAAGGCUAGAGUUUGGCAGAGGGGGGUAGAAUUCCACGUGUAGCAGUGAAAUGCGUAGAUAUGUGGAGGAACACCGAUGGCGAAGGCAGCCCCCUGGGUCAAGACUGACGCUCAUGCACGAAAGCGUGGAGAGCAAACAGGAUUAGAUACCCUGGUAGUCCACGCCCUAAACGAUGUCUACUAGUUGUCGGGUCUUAAUUGACUU